AUCUUCCUUCGGCAGCACAAAUACUAAAAUCAGAACGAUACAGAGAAGGUUAGCACGGCCCCUGCACAAGGAUGACACGCAAAUUUGCGAAGCGCUCCAUAUUUUU